CUACGGGACGCACCAGUGGGGAAUAUUGGACAAUGGGCGAAAGCCUGAUCCAGCAAUGCCGCGUGAGUGAGGACGGCCGGAGGGGGGUCACCCUCUUUUCCCCUUUCUUAUAAUUACAGUACCUGGAGAAUAAGCUCCGGCUAACUCCGUGCCAGCAGCCGCGGUAAUACGGAGGGAGCUAGCGUUGUUCGGAAUUACUGGGCGUAAAGCGUGCGUAGGCGGCUAUUCAAGUCAGAGGUGAAAGCCUGGAGCUCAACUCCAGAACUGCCUUUGAAACUAGAUAGCUAGAAUCUUGGAGAGGUGAGUGGAAUUCCGGGUGUAGAGGUGAAAUUCGUAGAUAUUCGGAAGAACACCAGUGGCGAAGGCGACUCACUGGACAAGUAUUGACGCUGAGGUACGAAAGCGUGGGGAGCAAACAGGAUUAGAUACCCUAGUAGUC
rnacentral:rRNA from 1 species